GUGCUCACUUCAGCACCAUAUAUAUUAAAAUUGGAACAAUACAGAGAAGUUUAGCAUGACCCCUGUGCAAGGAUGACACGCAGAUUCAUGAAGCAUCCCAUAUUUUU